ensembl:lncRNA
UAUGCCCUGUUUUCAAUGUAUAAUUUAAUGGAUUUUCUACCUUCUCCCCUCCCCCUGUGUGCCACUCAGUAAUAAUAUAAUUAUGGAAUAUCUUCAAAGGUUGGACUAGACCAAGCAUAAUAUUCAAAAGGUACUCUCAUCUUUCAAGACCUUCAGUUGCCCCCAAGGAAAAGAUGCGCAGAAAGGAAACCAUCAGAUGUGGAAAGCUGCUCUGUAAUGUCCCACAUGACAUGUAAUCAAAGCCAUCAAAGCUUUAAUGUUGAAGGCAAAGAGACCAGGCAUGCUUCUCAGAUACAAAUGUUCCCAGGAUCAAUCCAGUUGACUUCUAAGGAUGGAUUCAGACCAUGUUUCUGCUAUCUGACAGACACCUAGUUUGAAUGUGCAAUACUGGCCCACAUUCAGAAGGUUAUCUUCCUAACCAAUCUUGGGCACUUCUUCAUUAAAAAUGACACAGCUUUAAUUCUGAAGAGGAAGCCAAGGAGAUGUUG